rnacentral:rRNA from 1 species
CCUACGUGUGGCAGCAGUGGGGAAUAUUGCACAAUGGGGGGAACCUUGAUGCAGCAACGCCGCGUGGGUGAAGAAGUACUCCGGUAUGUAAAGCCCUGUCAGCAGGGAAGAAAAUGACGGUACCUGAGUAAGAAGCACCGGCUAAAUACGUGCCAGCAGCCGCGGUAAUACGUAUGGUGCAAGCGUUAUCCGGAUUUACUGGGUGUAAAGGGAGCGCAGGCGGCACGGCAAGCCUGAUGUGAAAGCCCGCGGCCCAACCGCGGGACUGCAUUGGGAACUGCCGGGCUGGAGUGCCGGAGAGGUAGGCGGAAUUCCUAGUGUAGCGGUGAAAUGCGUAGAUAUUAGGAGGAACACCAGUGGCGAAGGCGGUCUGCUGGACAGCAACUGACGGUGAGGCGCGAAAGCGUGGGGAGCAAACAGGAUUAGAUACCCGGGUAGUC